rnacentral:rRNA from 1 species
UUGUUUUAAAAAAAAAACCUAGAAGCUUUACUGUAGCUUGGUAUUGGGUUCGGGCUUUUUUUGCGCAGGAUAGGUGGGAGACUAUGAAAUUACUCUUGUGGGAGUAAUGGAGUCAUCAGUGAGAUACCACUCUGGCAAGGCUAGAAUUCUAACUUUAAUCCGUGAAGCCGGUGAAAGGACAGUUUCAGGUGGGCAGUUUGACUGGGGCGGUCGCCUCCUAAAAGGUAACGGAGGCGCCAAAGGUUCCCUCAGGCUGGUUGGAAAUCAGCCGUAGAGUGCAAAAGCAGAAGGGAGCUUGACUGCGAGACUUACAAGUCGAGCAGGGACGAAAGUCGGCCUUAGUGAUCCGACGGCGCUGCGGGAAGGCCUCGUUCA